rnacentral:rRNA from 1 species
UACGAAGGGGGCUAGCGUUGCUCGGAAUCACUGGGCGUAAAGCGCACGUAGGCGGCUUGUUAAGUCGGGGGUGAAAUCCUGGAGCUCAACUCCAGAACUGCCCUCGAUACUGAUGAGCUCGAGUCCGGGAGAGGUGAGUGGAACUGCGAGUGUAGAGGUGAAAUUCGUAGAUAUUCGCAAGAACACCAGUGGCGAAGGCGGCUCACUGGCCCGGUACUGACGCUGAGGUGCGAAAGCGUGGGGAGCAAGCAGG